UACGAAGGGGGCUAGCGUUGCUCGGAAUGACUGGGCGUAAAGGGCGCGUAGGCGGUUUGGUUAGUUAGGCGUGAAAUUCCUGGGCUCAACCUGGGGGCUGCGCUUAAUACAGCCAGACUAGAGUGUGAAAGAGGGUCGUGGAAUUCCCAGUGUAGAGGUGAAAUUCGUAGAUAUUGGGAAGAACACCGGUGGCGAAGGCGGCGACCUGGUUCAUUACUGACGCUGAGGCGCGAAAGCGUGGGGAGCAACAGG
rnacentral:rRNA from 1 species